GACGAACGCUGGCGGCGUGCUUAACACAUGCAAGUCGAACGGAAAGGCCCUGCUUGCUGGGUACUCGAGUGGCGAACGGGUGGGUAACACGUGGGUGAUCUGCCCUCCACUUCGGGAUAAGCCUGGAAAACUGGGUCUAUUACCGGAUAGGAGCCAUUUUUAGUGGGAUGGUUGGAAAGUUUUUUGGGUGUAGGAUGAGCUCGCGGCCUAUCAGCUUGUUGGUGGGGUAAUGGCCUACCAAGGCGGCAACGGGUAGCCGGCCUGAGAGGGUGGACGGCCACAUUGGGACUGAGAUAAGGCCCAGACUCCGACGGGAGGCAGCAGUGGGGAAUAUUGCACAAUGGGCGCAAGCCUGAUGCAGCGAGGCCGCGGGGGGGAUGACGGCCUUCGGGUUGUAAACUCCUUUCGCUAGGGACGAAGCUUUUUGUGACGGUACCUAGAGAAGAAGCACCGGCUAACUACGUG
rnacentral:rRNA from 1 species